rnacentral:rRNA from 1 species
UUUGUCCUACGGGGGGCAGCAGUGGGGAAUAUUGCACAAUGGGGGGAACCCUGAUGCAGCGACGCCGCGUGGUGAAGGAGUACUUCGGUACGUAAAGCCCUAUCAGCAGGAAAGAAAAUGACGGUACCUGACUAAGAAGCCCCGGCUAACUACGUGCCAGCAGCCGCGGUAAUACGUAGGGGGCAAGCGUUAUCCGGAUUUACUGGGUGUAAAGGGAGCGUAGACGGCAUGGCAAGUCAGAUGUGAAAGCCCGGGGCUCAACCCCGGGACUGCAUUUGAAACUGUCAGGCUGGAGUGCAGGAGAG